rnacentral:rRNA from 1 species
UGCUUAACACAUGCAAGUCGAACGGAAACGCGAAGAGCUUGCUCUUUGGCGUCGAGUGGCGGACGGGUGAGUAACGCGUGGGAAUCUACCCAGUAGUGGGGGACAGCCCAGAGAAAUUUGGAUUAAUACCGCAUACGAUCUACGGAUGAAAGGUGGCCUCUCCUUGGAAGCUAUCGCUAUUGGAUGAGCCCGCGUUAGAUUAGCUAGUUGGUGGGGUAAGAGCCUACCAAGGCAACGAUCUAUAGCUGGUCUGAGAGGACGACCAGCCACAUCGGGACUGAGACACGGCCCGGACUCCUACGGGAGGCAGCAGUGGGGAAUAUUGGACAAUGGGCGCAAGCCUGAUCCAGCAAUGCCGCGUGUGUGAAGAAGGCCCGAGGGUUGUAAAGCACUUUCAAUUGUGAAGAAGAGUAUAAGAUUAAUACUCUUGUACUUUGACGUUAACUAUAGAAGAAGCACCGGCUAACUCUGUGCCAGCAGCCGCGGUAAUACAGAGGGUGCGAGCGUUAAUCGGAAUUACUGGGCGUAAAGCGCGCGUAGGCGGCUUAUUAAGUCAGAUGUGAAAUCCCCGGGCUCAACCUGGGAACUGCAUCUGAUACUGGUAAGCUAGAGUUUUGGAGAGGGAAGUAGAAUUUCAGGUGUAGCGGUGAAAUGCAUAGAGAUCUGAAGGAAUACCAGUGGCGAAGGCGACUUCCUGGCCAAAAACUGACGCUGAGGUGCGAAAGCGUGGUAGCAAACGGGAUUAGAUACCCCGUAGUCCACGCCGUAAACGAUGU